GCAUUUCUUUUCGCUUCUUCUCCUUUUCUUCUUCCUCUCCUCUCCCAUGGAGAUCGUUUCUAGGGUUAUGAAGCGAAAGAUGUCGCUGUCCUCCUCUUCAUCCAAGAUCUGCUUCAAUCCCGACUGCAAAGAGGCGAAAUCAGAGCCUUCUACAAAGGGAUGGUGUCUUUAUGCUGGCAAUUUCACUGAGCUAUAUGAUCAAUGCGGGUAGCCUCUCUAUUUCUCGUGAUUCUUUGAUUUUCUUUCGUAAGGGCAUUUUAUUACUCCUCCUUAAAAGGAAAUCGAAGAGAGAGAUAUUCGAAAAGAGGGUUUUCCGGCCGGUCUUAAUCACAAUGAAGAUUUUGGUCCUGAUUGAGAUGAUGGGAGGCGUCGAGGGUUUCAGCUCCUGAUUCGAUUGCGGGAGUGGAUGGAGAUUAUGGCCCUGAUUGAGAUGAUGAAAGGCGUCGAGGGUUUCAGCUCCCGAUUCGAUUGCGGGAGUGGAUGGAGAUUAUGGCCCUGAUUGAGAUGAUGAGAGGCGUCAAGGUGUUUUUCUUGCGAGAGUGGAUGAAGAUUAUGACCCUGAUUGAGAUGAUGAGAGGCGUCAAGGUGUUUUGCUUGCGAGAGUGGAUGGAGAUUAUGACCCUGAUUGAGAUGAUGAGAGGCGUUGAGGGUUUCGGCUCCCAAUUUGAUCGCAAGAGUGGAUGGAGAUUACGGCCCUGAUUGAGAUGAUGAUAGGCAUUGAGGGUUUUGUCUCCUGAUUCAAUUGUGAGAGUGGAUGAAGAUUAUGGCCCUGAUUUGAUCGUGAGGGUUGCACCCCUUUGAUUUUUGCAUCGGUUAUGACCCUGAACUGAGAGGUGGCAGCCGCAGCAGAACCCCUCGUCACAUUUGAUCGCAAUGGGUGGUAUAGAUGAUGAAGGGUUUUGGUUCUUUGACAGCAACAACACCCGGGGUUGGCGUCGGUUUUCGAUUCCGGCUACGGAGUGAGGCAGCGAUGCAGGGUGUGGGUGUGUGAUGGAGAUCGUCCUCCACUCUGGUACCAGUGAAGUUUGGAGGGCGUUAGACAGCCGUUUAGCAACGAAUCUCUAGCAGGAGGAUUUUUCAACCAGAUGGGGAAGUCACAUUUCUGGGGUGUGUUCAUUGUUGUUUAAAUAUCUAUACUGAGACUGGACGGUUGUCGGCUAGAAGACCGUAUUUGCAGGUUUUGGUUCUAUCCUUCAUAAAUUCAAGAUAUCAGAGGAGCAGAGAAAAUAUUUUAUUGAUAACCCAGAGCCCCUGGUAGCAUUUGCUCUCCGUUGCAGGAUGUAAUCUUCACCUGCAGUAAGGGCCCUUUUUGUAUAAGAUUUGAGUUCAGGCCGGUAAUUGGAGCUCGUCGAAACCAGGCUGACUUAGCUGAGUCAGCGAGGCAAUUAGUGAAUUUUAAAAUUGCCACAUUAGAUCUGAUUAUGGAAACAAAUUUUAGCAUAUAGCUGGAGCUUCGGAUCUUUGUGCAUCUUGCAAACUGUCAGACCAUGUUGAAUGCAUUCAAGGCUGGUGGGAAUUUCCAUUCAAGGAUGGCAAUGAAUAUGUACCCACAUAUUCGUCAGGUUGUAGAGGGAAAAAGGGUGCUGAUUGAAUGGUACCCUCAACCCAGGGAAGACAAACCUCCAGUUCCUCUAUUAAAAAAAGGAUGCCUUUGCUUUUGAGAGAUGAAAAGCGAAAAUGCUCAACUUCACUAUUGCAUAUGGGAAAACUCUUGUUGGCUGGCCCAUGAUUGGAAGGUAUGAAUACUCUUAUCAAUUAUUGUAAUGGGGGUAGAUGAACAUGUGGCUGCCAAUGAAUGCGGUUUGAUGCAGCAUUGCCACUUUCAGUGACUCUACCAAAGAGCAUGAAGGCAAAUGGGGUAUGAAAUAAUUAACAAAGGUAAGGAAACCACUUCACUUUUGACCUUUGAUUGCUAUUUAUUUUCCUAGUUAAAAUUGUACCUUGCAUUAGGAAGGAACAUGCCAGAUUGGCCUCUGGGUUUGAGUCCCAACCUGAAUGGGUUGGACUUGGGCCUAAUAUAGACCCAUUGAUGGGCCUAGCUUUAAUUUAAAAUGGGUUGGCCUUGGGCCUAAGUCAGGUUGGCCUGCGUGUUAACAGACCCAACCUAUUUUUGAGGUGGGUUCAAGCCAAACUUAUUGGGUAGUGGGUUGGGCUUCGAGCUAGAAAUUUGUCCAUUUAAAUAAUGGGUUAGGCUGGGGUUGAACCUACCUACUGGGUUGAGCCAGAUAACCCUACAUAGGUUACUAAUUGGUUGAGCUAGAUAACCUGGCUUGCCUCGACCCAAAACCCAAAACAAAAUAAAGAACAAUAGUAUGGAUAAAUUUAUUGUCUGCACCCAAACUCAACAUGAUUUCUUCGGUCCAAUUGAUUGAACCUGAGCUCAUUAAAAUUGGGUCGGUUUCAUAGGG